ACUACGUAUUAAUGUUUCGAUUAUACAUUAUUCGUCAUACGAGGUUCAAUGCUCUUGUAUAAAAGAGACCUUUGAGCAUUUGCUUUUUUUAAGAGUACUAUAAUCUGUGUUGUCUGAGAGGAUGCACAGAAAAUAAUGGAGAGGGAAUUUCAUCGUGGAAAGGGAACGUUACGAAUGGAGAAGGAAGUUGCCUAGCAACCAACGUUGCGAACAUCACAGCGCUAACACUAUGACGAAUCUUCGACUUUGCUAUUUGGUUUAGUGAAGGACACAUGGGAGAUCGAGUGUGAGCAGUGGAAAAAGAGGGAGUACCAGUUUAUCUGCUUCUACCCCAAAGAAAACGAAUGUCCCACUUCAGGAUCAUUGGCUAAAAGACUCAAAUAGGCCAAGUGCCCAGUAUGCUGCAAAAAUGUUAAGCCACGAAAAACUGUUUUAAACGAGCAUAAAUAAUCAGAUUUUACGCGAAUAGCCACUUGUCAAACUUCUGGUAUUAUUAAUGUCUUCCUUGAUUCUGUUUCGAUGUUAAAGAUUUUUAAAAUUAGCAAAACUAUGUCAUUUAGUCUGUCAAAUAUGAUACCGAGACUGCGUAUACGUCUAGAUAUCACUGAAAUGUCAUUCUAGUAUUUAUUGUAAUUAUUUAUAGCUAUCCGGCUAUUAAAAGUAUCUGAUAUUUGUCGUUGUAGUGUAUACACAGUCUCGGAUCGAUCAUCAGGGAAUAUAACAAAAAGGUGAACUCAUAAAUAAUUUUUUCAAUUUGUAAAGCAUCUCAUAUUGAGCUUCUGAAAAGGAAUUCAAUCAUUUAUAACGUUUUAUAAAUUUACUUUAAAACAGUAUUCUCUCGCCAUGCGAAUAGUAAGGUAUUAUCGAUAUAUCGUUGUUCGACUCAAAAAGGGUUAAAUCCUUCUCCAACGCCUUUAAAAACAGAUCGCUUACCUCGUUCAUCACAUCAUAAUCAUCAUUUUGUUUGGAUGAAUGUGAUUCAUCAACUGUUUUGUAUAGUGUGUUAUUAGGUAAGUCUAAUAACAAUUAAUAUGCAAAGUAA